CAGUCGCCGCGGUAAAACGGAGGGUGCAAGCGUUAUCCGGAUUCACUGGGUUUAAAGGGUGCGUAGGCGGAUCUGUAAGUCAGUGGUGAAAUCUCCAGGCUUAACCUGGAAACUGCCGUUGAUACUAUAGGUCUUGAAUUUUGUGGAGGUUAGCGGAAUAUGUCAUGUAGCGGUGAAAUGCAUAGAUAUGACAUAGAACACCAAUUGCGAAGGCAGCUGGCUACACAACUAUUGACGCUGAGGCACGAAAGCGUGGGGAUCAAACAGGAUUAGAUACCCCGGUAGUCCCUGUCUCUUAUAA
rnacentral:rRNA from 1 species